AGGACGAACGCUGGCGGCGUGCUUAACACAUGCAAGUCAAGGGGGCCCAGCAAUGGGCAACCGGCGAACGGGUGCGUAACACGUGAGCAACCUACCGAAAUGUGGGGGAUAGCCGGCCUAACGGCCGAGUAAUACCGCAUACGCUCUCGAUGAGGCAUUUCAUCGAGAGGAAACCUACGGGACAUUUCGAGGGGCUCGCGGCCUAUCAGCUAGUUGGAGAGGUAACGGCUCACCAAGGCAACGACGGGUAGCU
rnacentral:rRNA from 1 species